rnacentral:rRNA from 1 species
GGAUAAUCUACCCUUAGGACCGGGAUAACCCUGGGAAACUGGGGAUAAUACUGGAUAGGCAAUUAUUCCUGUAAUGGUUUUUUGUUUAAAUGUUUUUUCGCCUAAGGAUGAGUCUGCGGCCGAUUAGGUAGUUGGUUAGGUAAUGGCUUACCAAGCCGUUGAUCGGUACGGGUUGUGAGAGCAAGAGCCCGGAGAUGGAACCUGAGACAAGGUUCAGGCCCUACGGGGUGCAGCAGGCGCGAAACCUCCGCAAUGUGAGAAAUCGCGACGGGGGGAUCCCAAGUGCCAUUCUUAACGGGAUGGCUUUUCAUUAGUGUAAAGAGCUUUUGGAAUAAGAGCUGGGCAAGACCGGUGCCAGCCGCCGCGGUAACACCGGCAGCUCUAGUGGUAACAAUUUUUAUUGGGCCUAAAGCGUCCGUAGCCGGUUUAAUAAGUCUCUGGUGAAAUCCUGCAGCUUAACUGUGGGAAUUGCUGGAGAUACUAUUAGACUUGAGACCGGGAGAGGUUAGAGGUACUCCCAGGGUAGAGGUGAAAUUCUGUAAUCCUGGGAGGACCGCCUGUUGCGAAGGCGUCUAACUGGAACGGUUCUGACGGUGAGGGACGAAAGUUAGGGGCGCGAACCGGAUUAGAUACCCGGGUAGUCCUAACUGUAAACGAUGCGGACUUGGUGUUGGGGUGGCUUUGAGCUGCUUCAGUGCCGAAAGGGAAGCUGUUAAGUCCGCCGCCUGGG